rnacentral:rRNA from 1 species
AUUGAACGCUGGCGGCAGGCUUAACACAUGCAAGUCGAGCGGGGUGAUGGUGCUUGCACUAUCACUUAGCGGCGGACGGGUGAGUAAUGCUUAGGAAUCUGCCUAUUAGUGGGGGACAACAUCUCGAAAGGGAUGCUAAUACCGCAUACGUCCUACGGGAGAAAGCAGGGGAUCACUUGUGACCUUGCGCUAAUAGAUGAGCCUAAGUCGGAUUAGCUAGUUGGUGGGGUAAAGGCCUACCAAGGCGACGAUCUGUAGCGGGUCUGAGAGGAUGAUCCGCCACACUGGGACUGAGACACGGCCCAGACUCCUACGGGAGGCAGCAGUGAGGAAUAUUGGACAAUGGGGGGAACCCUGAUCCAGCCAUGCCGCGUGUGUGAAGAAGGCCUUAUGGUUGUAAAGCACUUUAAGCGAGGAGGAGGCUCUUUUGGUUAAUACCCAAGAUGAGUGGACGUUACUCGCAGAAUAAGCACCGGCUAACUCUGUGCCAGCCGCCGCCGCGG